GACGAACGCUGGCGGCGUGCUUAACACAUGCAAGUCGAACGAUGAAGCUAGAGCUUGCUCUGGUGGAUUAGUGGCGAACGGGUGAGUAACACGUGAGUAACCUGCCCCGAACUCUGGGAUAACUGCUGGAAACGGUAGCUAAUACCGGAUAUGACCAAUGAAGGCAUCUUCUGUUGGUGGAAAGAAUUUCGGUUCGGGAUGGACUCGCGGCCUAUCAGCUUGUUGGUGAGGUAACGGCUCACCAAGGCGACGACGGGUAGCCGGCCUGAGAGGGUGAUCGGCCACACUGGGACUGAGACACGGCCCAGACUCCUACGGGAGGCAGCAGUGGGGAAUAUUGCACAAUGGGCGCAAGCCUGAUGCAGCAACGCCGCGUGAGGGAUGACGGCCUUCGGGUUGUAAACUGCUUUUAUCUGUGACGAUUAUGACGGUAGCAGAAGAAUAAGGAUCGGCUAAUUCCGUGCCAGCCGCCGCCGUAA
rnacentral:rRNA from 1 species